rnacentral:rRNA from 1 species
AAGUUGAUUCUGGCUCAGAUUGAACGCUGGCGGCAUGCCUUACACAUGCAAGUCGAACGGCAGCACGGGAGCAAUCCUGGUGGCGAGUGGCGAACGGGUGAGUAACGUAUCGGAACGUACCUUCCAGUGGGGGAUAACGUAGCGAAAGUUACGCUAAUACCGCAUAUUCUGUGAGCAGGAAAGCAGGGGAUCGCAAGACCUUGCGCUGAUUGAGCGGCCGAUAUCAGAUUAGCUAGUUGGUGAGGUAAAGGCUCACCAAGGCGACGAUCUGUAGCGGGUCUGAGAGGAUGAUCCGCCACACUGGAACUGAGACACGGUCCAGACUCCUACGGGAGGCAGCAGUGGGGAAUUUUGGACAAUGGGGGCAACCCUGAUCCAGCCAUGCCGCGUGAGUGAAGAAGGCCUUCGGGUUGUAAAGCUCUUUCAGCCGGGAAGAAAUCACAUGGGUUAAUACCCUGUGUGGAUGACGGUACCGGAAUAAGAAGCACCGGCUAACUACGUGCCAGCCGCCGCGGUAAUACA